UAAAAUUGGAAAUUAAACGAGACUUACCUGUAAGUCGAAGUUUGAUUGUAAUUCUAUAAGUCAUUAGCGAGGAGUGGAGGAGUUGUAGGAGAGACAGUACCGCGCAUGAGUUAACCAGUAUUUAGAGCAUUAAUAUUGGUACAAUGCCUGGAGUGGAGGAGGUAAUCGGGCCUGGGUGUAAUUUCACGGGUGGGCCUACAACUCCUCCACUCCUCGCUAAUGACUUAUAGAAUUACAAUCAAACUUCGAC